CCAUCGUGCCCGGCCUCGGCUAAUUUUUAUAUUUUUCAGUAGAGACGAAGCUUCACCGUGUUAGCCGGGAUGGUCUCAAUCUCCUGACCUCAUGAUGUGCCCACCUCGGCCUCCCAAAGUGCUGAGAUUACAGGUGUGAGCCACUGCCCCUGGCCUGACCUUUUCGUUUUCUCACUGAUGCAUUCACUCUUUUGUUCAACCCUUAUUGAGUUCACGCUAUGUGUUUGAAAGUUCUGAGCCCUUGGGGAAUGCAGAGUGAACAAGACAUUCUCCUUGCCCUCCAGAAGUUAAAUAUAGCAGAGAAAGUGGGUACAGUCGGAAAUUAUUCUCUCUCUUGUUUCUUUUCUUUUUUUCUUUUCUUUUUUUUUUUGAGAUGGAGUCUUACUCUGUUGCCCGGUUAAUUUUCGUAUUUUUAGUAGAGAUGGGAAAAAACACAAAAAUUAGCCAGGCAUGGUGGAGUAUGCCUUGGAGUCCCAGCUACUCAGGAGGCUGAGGCUAGAAGAUCACUUGAGCCUGGGAGGCAGAGGCUGCAGUGAGCCAUGAUUGUGCUACUGCACUCCAGCCUAGGUGACAGACGGAGACUCUGUCUCUAAAUAAAUAAAUAAAUAAAUCCUAUUUUAAAACGCUAUCACCCUUUAAUACUUUCUACACAAUUCCUACAAAACCACAGAACAAGGAUAAAAAUUGGGUAAUUAACACUGAUGUAUUACUUCCAUCUAAUCUUCAGAUACCCUUUAGGUUUUGCCAGUUGUCCCAACCAUGUCCUUUAGAGCAAGACUUCCAGAUCAGAGUCAGGCAUUGCAUUGAGCGAAGAUCUCUUCAGUAUCAUUUAGACUAGGACAGUUCCUGGGACCUUUGGAAGAUUACAGGUCAGUUAUUUCGAAGAAAGUCCCUCACUCAGGCCUGUCUGAUGCUUCUUCUUAUGAUUGACUCAGGCUCUGCUUCCUUGGUGAUGCCAUGUCUUUCUGUGUGUCCUAGAAGAUGGUAGCAAUACCAGUUUGUCUGAUGAUUAUUUUGACCCCUUGAAAUUGAUGUCGGCCAGGUUUUUCCACUGAAUGGUUAACUCUUUUCCCCUUUAUAACUAAGUAUUUUCUGAAGAGAAGCUUUGAAAGUAGGUAAGUAUUCUGUUCCUCAUCAAGCUUCCCAUUUAAAUGUCAGCACAGGCCAGGCGCGGUGGCUCAUGCAUGUAAUCCCAGCACUUUGGGAGGCCAAGACAGGCAGAUCAUUGGAGACCAGGAGUUGGAGACCAGCCUGGGCAACAUAGCGAGACCCCUGUCUCUACUGAAAAUAAAAAAAAAUUAGCCAGGCAUGGUGCUGCGUGCCUGCAAUCCCAUCUACUCCAGAGACUGAGGCAUGAGAAUCUCUUGAACCUGGGAGGUGGAGGUUGCAGUGAGCCAAGAUCACGCCACUGUACUCCAGCCUGGGCGACAGAGCAAAACUCUGUCUCUAAAUAAAUAAAUAAAUAGAAGUAAAUGUCAGCAUAGACUUAUGAUUUGUAUUUUCUUCUACAGGUUACACUCCAUUAUAAUUUGCUACUUACAUUAUUUUAUAAUUUAACCAAAGCUGGUUAAAUUGACCCAGCUUUGGCAAGUGGGAGCUUUUUUAGGGUAGCCCUGGUAUGCUUUUGGGACUGUUCCCAUCAUGUUUUGAGUCCUCACUUUC
rnacentral:lncRNA from 1 species